CAGGGACUACUUUGACAGUCUGAUGCUGCUAUAGCUCUCUUCAGAAAAAUAUUUUUAAAAGCAUAAAAUGAAACCAGUUAUAUUAAUAUAUUAAAAAUACUAGGUCACAGACGUUAUAAGAGCUCCUACAUUAUGGAAUAUGGUUCUGGAUGAAUAUACUUUAUUCCAAAGAAACAGAAUCAUUAUGCAUCUUUGUGUAUGUGUUUGUAUGUGUAUGUGAACAACAUACUCAGGAACAAGUACAGGAAAGCAUGGUAGAGAACAUUUGAUUGAAGUUUAAAGGGUCAGAAACAGAAGCAAUUAUUUUUUCAUGAAAGUAUAUUACAGACUACUUGAACUGAAAAGUUUGAAAAACAGAUCAUAAACCUAGUACAGAGGUAUGGUGUAAGAGUGGUAGAAGGCUUUAAUAUUCUGGAUAUCUGCUAGAACUCUCUGUUAAAAGUAGAGAUGCCAAUAGUGAAUUUCUUUUGGUAACAUUUUUAAUGCAUGUUUGUCUCUAUAUCAGUCAUUUCUGGAAAAACUCAUUUCAUAUUAAAUAUUUCUUUAAGGUAAAGAAUAACAAUUAAGAAAAAAAAUGCUACAUAAUUGGCCACACAUGACAAUGAAUAUGACAUUCUAUCCUAGUCAUCGCUUGCCUUUCUUUUUGAGGGAGGAGCUGAUUUCUGUGGAACAGCCAUUUUUGAAGAAGGCUGAAUGGGGGAAGUGGUUCUGAAAUCUCUUUUUCCAUAACUUCCAGCAGCAGCUAGUAGGUACUCAAUCAACAUUUGAAUAAAUAAACUUUAAAUAAAUAUUGAACCUUAGUU
rnacentral:lncRNA from 1 species